rnacentral:rRNA from 1 species
GACGAACGCUGGCGGCGUGCUUAACACAUGCAAGUCGAACGGUGAAGGGGUCUGCUUUUGUGGGCCCUGGAUGAGUGGCGAACGGGUGAGUAACACGUGAGUAACCUGCCCCCUUCUUCUGGAUAACCGCAUGAAAGUGUGGCUAAUACGGGAUAUUCUGGGUCUGUCGCAUGAUGGGUCUGGGAAAGAUUGCGCCUUUGGGUGUUGUUGGUGGGGGAUGGGCUCGCGGCCUAUCAGCUUGUUGGUGGGGUGAUGGCCUACCAAGGCGGUGACGGGUAGCCGGCCUGAGAGGGUGGACGGUCACACUGGGACUGAGACACGGCCCAGACUCCUACGGGAGGCAGCAGUGGGGAAUAUUGCACAAGGGGCGCAAGCCUGAUGCAGCGACGCCGCGUGAGGGAUGGAGGCCUUCGGGUUGUAAACCUCUUUCGCCAGUGAAACAGGCCUGCUCCGUGUGGGUGGGUUGACGGUAGCUGGAGAAGAAGCGCCGGCUAACUACGUG